AGUGUGUGGUGUAAAGGUUUGAGUGUUGGACUAGGAUUCCAGGAGACCAGGGUUCAAAUCCCUGCUCAGCUA